rnacentral:rRNA from 1 species
AAGAGACAGCAGUAGCCGCGGUAAUACGAAGGGGGCUAGCGUUGUUCGGAAUUACUGGGCGUAAAGGGCGCGUAGGCGGCCAUUCAAGUUAGAUGUGAAAGCCCUGGGCUCAACCUAGGAAUUGCAUUUGAUACUGUUUGGCUUGAGUUCGGGAGAGGUGAGUGGAAUUCCCAGUGUAGAGGUGAAAUUCGUAGAUAUUGGGAAGAACACCAGUGGCGAAGGCGGCUCACUGGACCGACACUGACGCUGAGGCGCGAAAGCGUGGGGAGCAAACAGGAUUAGAUACCCGGGUAGUCCCUGUCUCUUAUAC